GGAAAUUUUCUAAUUAUAGGAAACAAAUGGAAUUCACCUUUUAAGCUGAAAAUGAGAAACAAAUUGUCAGCUAGAACUUGACUAGUCACUAUAGAGUAAGAAGCAAGAAAGUAUCACGAGUGGUGACUGACAUUGAGUGGACGUGGUGUCUCGAGUCUACAUCAUGGAGGGUUAAAAUGAGCCCAGCCAACAUCUGUUUAGAGUUUAUUUCAGUUUUCUUGGCGAUCAUAUGGUUGACUUCAAGUAUGAAAAACAAUGGGCAAUCAUGUGUGUUGUUGCAUGUGUACUAUGUUUUGGCAAUUGGUUGGAUUUGAAACUAAUGUGCUAAUCUAUUUAGCUCUCGCCAAUAUAAAUCAUAUGCCUUCGAUAGACUUUUAUAACUAAGGUUUUGAAGAAAUUACUGGUGUAAGAUAACAACACUUGUUAGGUUAUAUCCACGCCACAUCAGAUAUUUUGCUUAGGGCUCAUUUCCACUCUUGACGGGUAGGAGGAAUCACACAUUUGAAAGGUUGACCGGUCACAUGACCAUAUGGUGGAGUGGCCUGUCUAGAUAUAUUGUUUGUUCUUUUUAGAUUGAUAUUUGUUUUCCCUAUCCAUGUGUCUUCUCCACAUCAUGGUUUCUUCUUAGGUGACAUUUUUGUGAUUACACAUUACAUGGCCUCUGUGUGUCAUGAUUUCUCUUUAAUUCCAUUCUUCUUAAUUUGAUUCAAUUUAAUUUGGGUGCAUUCAGGAUUGGGACAUUUGAUUACACAGAGUAGAUGUGUGUGUAUAAAUAUUUUAAAUAAAUUAUCAGUAUAAGAAAAAUAGGAUCCAUAAAAUUCACAUGUUUGAUUCCGUUCUUCUUAAUUUGAUACAAUUUAAUUCGGUUCUUAGUGCAUACGAGAUUGAGGCAUUUGAUUAGAAGGAGUAGAUGUGUGUGUAUGAAUAUUUUAGAUAGAUUAUUUGUAUGAAAAAAAAUUAGGAUCCAUGAAAUUCACAUAUUUAUACUAAAUUGUUUUACUUUUUUGUAACUAAUUAUGUUUUAGUGUUUGUAAAUAUAAUUAUUAAAAUUUGCUAAAUAUCUUAUUAAAGUUAUUUCUAAACAAUUUGACGGAUAACAAUUUUUUUGAGAUGCAUAAGAGUUAAAAUAUAAUAACUCUCACUGGAUUUUCUUUCCUUGUAUUGUGUGUGUUUGGAUGUGUUCAUAGUUCACAUAGUUUCUUUUAAAUAUCUAGCUAGAGGUUUCUAUAGGAUAAGAAUC
rnacentral:lncRNA from 1 species